UAAACGGUGGUGACGGUCGCGUUUCUAACCAUAUCUCUCACGUCGUCCAUCUCCCGUCUCGACGUUCCAGGCGCCGUGGUGGGCGCCAGCAUCACUUCGCUGCUCGCCAUCCUGCGAAUUCUCCCCUCGCAUCCACACAAUAGACGAAACUACGAUACGAUAUCGACACUUUCGCAUCAAACCAAGACGAUCUUUCUCCCCAUUUCUUUCUUAAAAUUCCCAGAUAUUCCAACGAUUCGAGAGAUAAGAGAAUUCCUUUGAAAUUUUCCCCUCGAUGAUUCUAAUAAUUUUUCUAAUCUCCUCUGUGGGUUCGUCGAUGGUAAAAAAGUAAGAAAUAAAAAUGACUAGAAUUAUUCGUCCAGACGAUGGUGUAAAUUUCAUAUAGCUAGUUUCGGGCACUUAAUUGAACGUUUGUCGCGUCGCGGAAGUAUCGAUAAAGAAGACUGGAUGGAACAUGGCAGCAGCGUGUCGGAAUAAUCGAGGCAUGGUAUCGAUCCAAGCCGAGAUUCCUCAUAAUCUCCAGAGUUGACAGAGUGGUCGGAUGCAUUCCUGAUUCCACUUGGACCUCGGUGUGAAUCAAAUUUCACGAUGGCAACGAGCCAGGAACGCCGGAUUUCAACGCAGCAGUCGUCGAAAAACCGAUUGGGCGUCGGAUAAAAGAACUCUCGUCUCGCGAAUCGUCGUCGGUUCCCGCGUACACUCGUCGCCCUUCCCCCCCAUGAUUCGACGAUUUGCUAACUAAAUCGGAAAAAAAAAAAAAAAAAAACAAAAGAAGCGAAUAUAAAGUCACUCUCGAUCCGUAAAGUCACCAAUUUCACCGUGGAAAAACUGUUCGAGAAAUUCUGAAGUUCCAGGAUCACUAUAAAGGAAGGAAAAUGGAAUGUCAGGUCAAAUCAUGUCAAAAGAACGUUUUCUCUUCGCGUCACGAAGUCGAGCAGUUCAAUCGGAUCCGUAAAUUUAUCCAAACACCAUCGCUUCGACGAAAUUCACGCACGAACUUGAAACACGCACUACUCUUUCCUCCACUCAGGAUCCGCCAACGUCUCGAUAAUCCACACCUCGGUGUUACCUCGAUCCUCUCCGAUUCUGAUCAUCCUCUCCGAGGAAAUGAUCGACGAGGGAAAUCGAGGUGAACCGACGACGUCGAUCACGAGCGUGCCACGAAGGAACGGAGAACGGAACUGGCCGGCCACUGAAUGCCACAAGUGUGUGCCGAGUAUGGAACGAGACUAGAGAGGCGAAGCGUGGUUUCAUUCUCUCGAUGCACGCUGCAACAAGAGGAUCGAGAGAGAGAGAGGAGAGACGCGCAGAGGAGAGGAGAGCGCGCGGUGGUUCGCUGCGUGAGUCAGCUGGCGUGCUCUAAGGCUGGCGUGUGUGCAAAGUCGGAUCGUUAGGCCUCUUAGGAGGUGGAACGAGGAGGGGAGAAUUGUGAUUCACGUGGCCGGGGAUGGCUUUUGACGAAGGGAGACGUGACUCGACGAGAAGAAAACCUUAUUCCUCCUCCUUUUCUCCUCCUCUCUCUCCGCAGAGACGCAAGACACGAUGUAGUAAAAUUGUACGAUCGGUGUUCAUCGUUGAGUGACCGUGCACCGUGGAGAAUUAACGUUUUUCGAAAGGCGUUUUGCGAGAAGAAGGUAUAUACAAGGGUACGUAGAAAAAAAUGGAGAGAACGUAAAGCGGAGGCGGCGUUCGAUUUACGACACGGUGGAAGAUCGAUCCGGUAACAUCUGGUGGAGGAUGAUCGCACAAAGGAAGUGGAGAUUCGUUCCGUCAUCACCGGGGGACACUUUUCGCUCUCUAAGAAGAAACGAAGCUGUUUAAUAGAGGCUCGAUAUAUAAACGAGCAUGAACACGGGUCUCGGUUAAUGGAAAUACAUCUGUUAUUCGCCCCGUCCGUUCCUUAAAUAGCCGAUAGAAAUACACUAGCCAAGAGGAAUCAAAAGGUAGCAUAAAAUAAGUGUUGCUCGAUGCAAUUAGGUAUACCUUCGGCUACCACCACCAACUCUCUGUACGCACUGCAAUUAGUUAUUCCGUUGCCGAGAAACUUCAGCGUCCGAUCACGAAUUUCCCUGAAUUUGUUGUUUGCCCUAAAAACGGGUCGAAAUUAAUUCCAACAGUGGGGGAUAUUUCGAAACAUCUCGUAAAAAAUUCUUUUCCUUCUUUUCUUAAAACGGUCUCGCGAAUUAUGAACGAAGAGAAAAAGGGGAAAAUAUUGUUGCAAUCGUUGGUGGAAAAAAAUUCGCGACGAUAUUACGUUGUUGCGUGCUGGCUCUCCCUUCUCCCUCGGGUGGAAGCGCGAACGACGACUUAUCUAAUCCCAUCACGGUUUCUCUCGUACCAUGGGAGCUCGUUCCGAUGAUUUAUUACCACGAAACGAGAACUUUGAACGUGAAAUACGCAAUACAUCUCGCGAUUAACAGAGUUACACCAAUCUCCAUAUAAUUGGAUAAUACUUCCCAAAGGAAAUCGAUUGUAAUAUAACAACACGUAAUAAUAAUAAUUUAAUUUAGCCAAGCGUCGGUUACGAUUAUUCUCCAACUCGUGUCGAUCCUUAAGAAAAAAAAAAAAAGUGUCGAAGAUGACGGGAUCGAUCCAAGGAAUUUGAACCGCGAUAAAUGUAAUUUUAACGUAACGUCGCGGCAAACGCGAUAAUUGACGAGCAAAACGACGAAUCGAGAAUUAAAAUUUCAUCCGUCACGGGAAUGGAAUGGAAUUUCAACCCGAUCUACACCGCAUCAUUAAUAUUUAAUCCGAUGGAUCCUUAAUACGUAACCGCUAUGUGAUUUAAUAAAAUCUUUAUGUAUCUUUGAACACGCAUACGUUUUAUCCAAGUUCAAAUCUGCUAUCGAGAUUCGAUUCUUGGUGUUAUCUAAGAUAAAGUGAUAUUAAUAUUAAUUUGGAAGGUUAAAAUUCACCAAAUCACUCUACAGUUAAUCGUCGUCGUUUCAUCGAAAUAACUAAAUAAUUCAUCGAGUAUUUAAUAAACGAAUCGGUUUUGUGAAAUAUUUCGCGAGAAAAAUCUUGUCUCUUAAGAAAAACGGAAGGGACGACGCGUAUCUGUCAGGGUUGAAGUAUACAGUCGUCGAACCAACGACGAUUUACCACGAAGAUGAAGGAAAGAGAGUGCAGUUACGAGUUAUGAGUAUAAGGAAACCUAAUCGGCAAUAAACUUCACGAUACCGCGUCUGUUGUUCUACACCAUUAACGGAGAAUAUAGAGACGGUUACGCUCACACACGCCUUCUAUCGUAACACGAGUAAUCUCAUUAUCGUAAAAUAAACUGGUAAAUUGAGUAAAUCGCGUCGAAAAUUAAUUUCCAAUAUCAUAUAUUGAUGAAUUGUAAUACUACUAUUUUUUUUUAUUUUUUGGAAUUAUCUUGGAAUAUUGUAUUAUAGUUUUCGCGAAAUUAAAUAAUUUCGAUUCGAUACGAAUUUUAAUUCUAACGCGUUUAAGCGUCACCAAAUAUUAACUUGAUUCAAUGUAGUAUAAUAAUAAUAGCUUCAAUAUAUACGUCCCGUGUAAAAUCAUUAUAAUCCUCGUGUGUCGUAUAAAUAGGAAAAUCAAUUAUAACUUCUACAAAUUGUUUCAUAUUUUAUUUUCACAUUUUAAAGAUACGAACAACAUUCCAUAAAUAUCGAGAAGCAUUAUAGUAGCUCGACGACACCGGUUGCUAAACGAUUCUAACAAACAAUUUAUUGUCCGAUUACACAAACGAUUCAUUGAUAUCUCUAUCUGUAAUAAAUAUUCCAAGUUAAAAAAAAAACAAAUCUAAUUAGAAAAAAAAAGAAAUAACAAUCUUAUCGCAAAUAGAAUAUCACUAAAAAAAUAGUUACGAGUCGAUUAAAAUUAAAAAUUGGUCGCAAGAUGGAAAGGUUCGAUGUUCGAGAUCGAAAUGAAAUAUACCUCGUUCGUUAGCGGCCAGACAUCGCGUUUAUCAUCGCGAAGAUAAGUCUGGAUUCGUAAUUGAGCGGAAUGCACGAGCAACAGUUUUCUCUUCGUUGCCGAUCCUUCGAAUCUGACGAUUUAUCUUCGCGUAUCAGCCCCCGAACCCGUGUCGCCCGCCACGGACUUCGAGGAUACUUCGAACCGGUGUAAAUGGCGCGCGUACAACGCAACAACAACAACAACAACACAACCUAUCCGCGCCAACAAAACCAUUUACGAUCCACUCCAGCAACGGGUGAGCUCUCGCUUUCGCCUCUGCUACCCACGCCAUUACCUUCCACGAUGUUUUUAUCCGUCACGGUUUACCGGAUUUCGAAAUUGAAAAGAAUGGCGCGCCUCGCGGAGAGUCGAACGCCUCGUCGUUUUUAAUCAAAAACCCGAUUUUUCAGGCAGGGUUUGUUCUUGUUUGCUUCUCUUCUUUUCUUCUCUCUCGAGAAAAACUGAAUUAAUGACGCGCAUCGCGAGGAAAACGAGAGAGAGAGAGAGAGGUGAAAGUUGGCUCGCACGCACGUAUUUAUAGGAAUCUUAUUGCUCGUUUGUUAACAGAGAUAAAGAUGUAUUUAUGUAUAUCGAUGAAAGUUUGAAAAAAUUUGUGGAGUUUUAUAUUAUUGGAAAUUAUGAAUUACGAAGAAGAAAGAGAAAGCGAAAGAGAAAAAAAAUUGCCCACGAUUACGCCUACGCGUGUUUAUUAAAAGAAAAAGACCGAUCCGACGUUAUCUUAUAUAAUACAACGUUCGAUCGUCUCGCAAGGAUGAAACCACGCGAUUUAAAUCGCAGCAUCGCAGUGGUUCUUAGACAUUUUCUAUGAAUUUAUAUUUUCGAUCAAGCGUGCGUUUAAAAAGAACGUUAAAAUGUUCUUCAGUGACUGAAUUUUUCCGCUGAUGAAAACCAAUUCUCAACGAUUAUCGAACAAAAAACCAAUAAUCCAUCGGAUCUGAAACAACGUCAAUUACUAACAAUUACUUUUAACUUGUUUAAACCCAUCAAUGACGAUGGCUGCAUCAACGCGACCUUUCUCAACACCUUCGUUACGAAGGUGAGAAAUGAUUAGGAAAAAAGAUAUUAAGAACCACUGAUGCAACGCGUCGUACGUGAAACGAGUCAGAGGCAUACAUCACGAACGUUUCGAUUACCGUACAAGGUAUGGCGAAGGUGUGCCGCGGCGAUUUUCCUGUUGGAAAGAUAUGUGACGGGGUCGAUUUCAAUGUAAAACGUCCCGGAAAAACCUCGAUCUUAAGUAGUUCUAGCGUUCUAGAAAGAGGAGGACCGGUCGUGACCAAACGCGAUCCAUCUGUCAAGAUCAUUGGAACAAGCACAGCUUUAUUUAGACGCAGUGAGUACAAUGACAUCGAUCAAUCGCGAUCAACUACAUCUAUAAAGGGAUUUCACGGUGUUCGAAUAAUAAGAAAAAUAAUUUUUCCAUAAAUUUAAUUCUCAAUAUGAGUCGACGAAAAACUCUUCGUACACAUUUUAAAUCGUUAUAUCGCCGUUCCGACUUUUAAUCUGCAACUUUACUCGAAACAGCAAAGUAAGUAAAUUCAUUCCCUUUUUUAACGCUCAAACUAGCUGCACAAAUCUGUACAUUUCGACGCAAAAGUAUCCAAACGUGGUGGCAAGUUUCAAGCGAUACGCUUUGGAUGGAAGAUGAACGAAGAAAUCGGAGCGUCGAACUGUUCCAUUAAUCUCGUCUCAUUCUCGUUCCGGAAUCGGGCCGUGCACGAUGAGCUAAAUGCGCGAACCAACUGUUUCUUCAAUGCAAACACCAGGCCGCGCCAUUCAGUUAUUUAUCCGCUACCAAAGAGAGAGAGAGAGAGAGAGAGAAAGAGAGAUAGAGUGAAAAAAAAUGUAAAUGGCGAAUGCUAUUUAUAGGGGACGAAGGAGAUGAAUGCGUUCCAACCUCUCAACGAAGUUGUUCGACCGUGUGAAACGACGAUGACGAGGACCAAUGAGACGAGACCGACCGAUUUUCAGCUUCGAAAAUCGUUUCUUUCCUUCCCUUUCCUCGGGCAAAUUAUCAUCGAGGAAUUCAAAUACUUUCAGAAGAAUUCGGAAGAGAAACACUUCUUUGUCGAAUGGAAUUAAGGAAUCGCGAGUUACUCGUAAGAGGAGGUUACUUAAUUCCAGAGAAUUCCAGAGAAAGAGAAAUUGAUUACGACACCUGGAUAAAAGUAGAAAAUCGAUUUUUCUCGAAUAAAAUUUCACUACGUUAAGGAGAUGAGCAAAGAUAUCGUGGGCCUCGAAACAAUCUUUUUAGAAGCUAAAAUUCUUCAAACUGACGUUUACGGCGUUUUUAAAUUCCACAAGUUUACACACGUGCGCGUUGUAAAUCCGUUUUUCUCGGAACACUGUUUCGAAAAAUGCGCGAGAAAGAAAAGAAUUGGAAGAACGUUUGAACCGAUCUCAUACGAUCGGAAAUAGGAAUACGCUUGUUUUCACGAUAAUCGAACUCGAGAGUUGGAAAAUUAAUUCGAUAAAUCAUAGAUUUUUGCCAAUUGUCAGCACUUACUUUCACUUUGAAAUGGAAGUACGCGUUUCCUAGUUUCGCGAAAGCUGCACAACAGAUCCCUACGAAUCCGAUGACCCAGAUUACAGAUCCAGCUACUCGGAACCGAACUCGCUUCGUUCGCCAGAUAUUCGAAUCCAAAGUAUCCAACUAACCGAACUUCAUAUCCCAACUUUUCUCCUUCUAGUAAUUUUCCUCGUUAUACUUGUUUUCGCCUAUAUACUUUUUUAUAUCCAUUUGUUCGAUUCGGUUGCUCUCCAUUCGCAGAUAAGAAUUUUUCUUUUUUUUCUUAUACGAGUUUAACGUCGACCAAUAGUAGAUCAUCGAUUACUAGAUCCUUUAAAGUAACCUUGCUGCCAAUCUUGGAAUAUCAGAGAGAAAGUUAUUCAACUUAUACUUCGUCUUUUGAUUUUGGAAUUUCUUGCAUGCAAAUAGAAAGUGAUUUGUUGUUUGAUUGCACAAGAUUUCUUUUUUUCUAAGAAACGUUGAUCUUAAUAACUGUUCAUUUCUAGAUUCUGGAUAGUAUUUAUCGUGGGAAUACGUGAAUUGCACGUGACUUUAGAUAUAGCAGGUUAGAUAGAAACAGUGUUACUUUGAUGUGUAUCAAUGGGUGCGACACAACGUUGUAAAUGUCGUCCCUGAAGAAGAGCACACAUAGAUGCAUCGUGAUUGAAUACAUUUUGCAAACCGCAUUCGCUCGAAUUAACACGAUUCUCUGAGUCACUGUUGCACGACUAUUUCUGGAAUGUAUAAUAAUACACCAGUGACCAAUUUGUGGAUUGUACAGUCUGUGGAAGGAAUAUAACUGAGGAGGAAUGCAGAGUCUGUCAGCCAUCAAAGUUUGCAUACGAAGUUUGAGAGAAAUUGGAGAGAACACGAGAGAUCAAAGUUGAGUGAGGUUCUACGCGAGAAAAAUCAUUUUUCGCGAUGACAUGGAAUAAAAGGGUCAAGUUUUCAGGAAGAGAAUGUUUCCAUGGUCCCCAAGGACGAGUCGCUUCAUUCCAAGUCACCGGUAGUGGCGUAAUUAAACGGAUAAUUACGAUCGCGCGACGCGAUUCCUGGAGAUCCAGCCUCGUUUUACCGUGCAAUAAAUAAGCUUGCGUACAGGAAACGACGCCAUAUUCGUCAUAGCGUCGCAGCUCGGGAAUAGCUUUCGUAUAUAAUGUCGUCUGCACGGCUGUCCGUGCACGUGAACUGCGUAAAUAUCAUGUACAAGAAUUUUCAGUGAACAAACUGAAGACAACUUCAUGUCUUGUUUACGGAAAAGUGAUGACAAGUAUUUUUUAUCAUAAAAAAUCGAUUAUAUGUUAAUUAUGAUUUCUCAUUUGUUACUAUUAGAAUACGAAGUUACAAAUUAUCAAAGGAAUUGAUGAGAAUCUACUAGUCUGAAAAGAAAAUUAUUAUGCAACGUGAAAUAGAUUCUUCUUCAAAUGCGUAAUAAUUUCUAAACGUAUCAAGAUUUUUCAUAGUACGUAUGUGAAUAAUGAAAAUAACUAAACUUCGACGUAGAUUAUCGAUGACCAACGUGUUAAAGAAUGCGGUGAAUACAUUAUUUUGAAUAGAUUUAAUUAUCUCAAACUUUUUCGUGAAUUAUUUUUACUAAUAGUAUUAUAGUAUAUUUAUUUUUUUAGAUAUUAUUAUAAUAAUAAUUUAAAUAAUUAUAUAACGUGAUAAAUUUGAACAAUUUAAAAGGAGAAAAUUGAUUAAUUCAAAGAGAUAAAUCUAAUAAAAAGUUCAACUUUUAAUUAUAUAUAAUAAGUUAUAAGUUUAACUUAUUUUGACUUAUUGAGACAAUUAUUAUAAUAAGAAAAUGAAUUCUUCAUGCUGAAUAUAUCUUUUUUAACAAUUUUUUAUAAGAUAUUGUUGUGAACAUUAAAGAUUAAUUAGUUACAAUUCUUAAUUUAAAAUACUGAAUUUCAUGCUUUGAUUCACAAAAUGAUAUAAACGAAAAAUUUGAAGAUAAAAGACAGUUGAAAAGCAU